AGGACGAACGCUGGCGGCGUGCUUAACACAUGCAAGUCGAGCGGAAAGGCCCUUCGGGGUACUCGAGCGGCGAACGGGUGAGUAACACGUGAGCAACCUGCCCCUGGCUCUGGGAUAGCCUCCGGAAACGGGGAUUAAUACCGGAUAUUCACUUCUCCCUGCAUGGGGGGUGGUGGAAAGUUUUUCGGCUAGGGCGGGCUCGCGGCCUAUCAGCUUGUUGGGGGGUGACGGCCCACCAAGGCGACGACGGGUAG
rnacentral:rRNA from 1 species